rnacentral:rRNA from 1 species
CGGGUGCGUAACGCGUAUGCAACCUACCUUUUACAGGGGAAUAGCCCAAAGAAAUUUGGAAUAAUACCCCAUAAGAUCUUUAAUUGGCAUCAAUCAAAGAAGAAAACUCCGGUGGUAAAAGAUGGGCAUGCGUCCUAUUAGUUAGUUGGUAAGGUAACGGCUUACCAAGACUUCGAUAGGUAGGGGUCCUGAGAGGGAGAUCCCCCACACUGGUACUGAGACACGGACCAGACUCCUACGGGAGGCAGCAGUGAGGAAUAUUGGACAAUGGAGGCAACUCUGAUCCAGCCAUGCCGCGUGCAGGAAGACUGCCCUAUGGGUUGUAAACUGCUUUUAUACAGGAAGAAUUGCAUCUACGUGUAGUUGCUUGACGGUACUGUACGAAUAAGGAUC